rnacentral:rRNA from 1 species
UGCAGUCGAGCGGCAGCACGGGUACUUGUACCUGGUGGCGAGCGGCGGACGGGUGAGUAAUGCCUAGGAAUCUGCCUAGUAGUGGGGGAUAACGUCCGGAAACGGGCGCUAAUACCGCAUACGUCCUACGGGAGAAAGUGGGGGAUCUUCGGACCUCACGCUAUUAGAUGAGCCUAGGUCGGAUUAGCUAGUUGGUGAGGUAAUGGCUCACCAAGGCGACGAUCCGUAACUGGUCUGAGAGGAUGAUCAGUCACACUGGAACUGAGACACGGUCCAGACUCCUACGGGAGGCAGCAGUGGGGAAUAUUGGACAAUGGGCGAAAGCCUGAUCCAGCCAUGCCGCGUGUGUGAAGAAGGUCUUCGGAUUGUAAAGCACUUUAAGUUGGGAGGAAGGGCAGUUACCUAAUACGUGAUUGUUUUGACGUUACCGACAGAAUAAGCACCGGCUAACUCUGUGCCAGCAGCCGCGGUAAUACAGAGGGUGCAAGCGUUAAUCGGAAUUACUGGGCGUAAAGCGCGCGUAGGUGGUUUGUUAAGUUGGAUGUGAAAGCCCCGGGCUCAACCUGGGAACUGCAUCCAAAACUGGCAAGCUAGAGUAUGGUAGAGGGUGGUGGAAUUUCCUGUGUAGCGGUGAAAUGCGUAGAUAUAGGAAGGAACACCAGUGGCGAAGGCGACCACCUGGACUGAUACUGACACUGAGGUGCGAAAGCGUGGGGAGCAAACAGGAUUAGAUACCC